rnacentral:rRNA from 1 species
CGAUGCGUAGCCGACCUGAGAGGGUGAUCGGCCACACUGGGACUGAGACACGGCCCAGACUCCUACGGGAGGCAGCAGUAGGGAAUCUUCCGCAAUGGACGAAAGUCUGACGGAGCAACGCCGCGUGAGUGAUGAAGGUUUUCGGAUCGUAAAACUCUGUUGUUAGGGAAGAACAAGUACCGUUCGAAUAGGGCGGUACCUUGACGGUACCUAACCAGAAAGCCACGGCUAACUACGUGCCAGCAGCCGCGGUAAUACGUAGGUGGCAAGCGUUGUCCGGAAUUAUUGGGCGUAAAGCGCGCGCAGGCGGUUUCUUAAGUCUGAUGUGAAAGCCCCCGGCUCAACCGGGGAGGGUCAUUGGAAACUGGGGAACUUGAGUGCAGAAGAGGAGAGUGGAAUUCCACGUGUAGCGGUGAAAUGCGUAGAGAUGUGGAGGAACACCAGUGGCGAAGGCGACUCUCUGGUCUGUAACUGACGCUGAG